AGUGAGGAAUAUUGGACAAUGGGCGGGAGCCUGAUCCAGCCAUGCCGCGUGCAGGAAGACGGCCCUAUGGGUUGUAAACUGCUUUUACAGGGGAAGAAACCUAUCUUCGUGAAGAUAGCUGACGGUACCCUGCGAAUAAGGAUCGGCUAACUCCGUGCCAGCAGCCGCGGUAAUACGGAGGAUCCAAGCGUUAUCCGGAAUCAUUGGGUUUAAAGGGUCCGUAGGCGGGUCGGCAAGUCAGUGGUGAAAGUCCGUGGCUCAACCAUGGAACUGCCAUUGAAACUGCCGUCCUUGAGUAAUUGUGAAGUGGUUGGAACAUGUAGUGUAGCGGUGAAAUGCAUAGAUAUUACAUAGAACACCGAUUGCGAAGGCAGAUCACUAACGGUUCACUGACGCUGAUGGACGAAAGCGUGGGUAGCGAACAGGAUUAGAUACCCUGGUAGUCCACGCCGUAAACGAUGGUUACUAGCUGUCCGGCGCGCAUUGGCGUGCUGGGUGGCCAAGCGAAAGUGAUAAGUAACCCACCUGGGGAGUACGUUCGCAAGAAUGAAACUCAAAGGAAUUGACGGGGGCCCGCACAAGCGGUGGAGCAUGUGGUUUAAUUCGAUGAUACGCGAGGA
rnacentral:rRNA from 1 species